GUACCGUGAGGGAAAGGCGAAAAGAACCCCGGCGAGGGGAGUGAAAAAGAACCUGAAACCGUGUACGUACAAGCAGUGGGAGCACAGAGCAAUCUGUGUGACUGCGUACCUUUUGUAUAAUGGGUCAGCGACUUAUAUUCUGUAGCAAGGUUAACCGAAUAGGGGAGCCGAAGGGAAACCGAGUCUUAACUGGGCGUUAAGUUGCAGGGUAUAGACCCGAAACCCGGUGAUCUAGCCAUGGGCAGGUUGAAGGUUGGGUAACACUAACUGGAGGACCGAACCGACUAAUGUUGAAAAAUUAGCGGAUGACUUGUGGCUGGGGGUGAAAGGCCAAUCAAACCGGGAGAUAGCUGGUUCUCCCCGAAAGCUAUUUAGGUAGCGCCUCGUGAAUUCAUCUCCGGGGGUAGAGCACUGUUUCGGCAAGGGGGUCAUCCCGACUUACCAACCCGAUGCAAACUGCGAAUACCGGAGAAUGUUAUCACGGGAGACACACGGCGGGUGCUAACGUCCGUCGUGAAGAGGGAAACAACCCAGACCGCCAGCUAAGGUCCCAAAGUCAUGGUUAAGUGGGAAACGAUGUGGGAAGGCCCAGACAGCCAGGAUGUUGGCUUAGAAGCAGCCAUCAUUUAAAGAAAGCGUAAUAGCUCACUGGUCGAGUCGGCCUGCGCGGAAGAUGUAACGGGGCUAAACCAUG
rnacentral:rRNA from 1 species